UCCUUGGUGGUCUUGAAGGAUGUUUGCUUUAUUUCUUCUCUUGAGGCAGUUUUGUGAUGUACCAGGAGAAGAAACGCCUGACGCGCUCUAACGCCUGGUGCACAGCCGGACUCAAGCUUCCUUAAACAUAAAUGUGAGAUCUUUGUUU
rnacentral:lncRNA from 12 species